GCAUGGCUGAAGUUUGAAAACGAUUUGUGAAAAAAGUACGUUCUUAUCUACGGCCCAUCGUAAUUUCCUGACUUUUUCUGAAUCUUUCCGGUCUGUCGCCACCCUGUAACACUUUUUUCGGAUUUUCAUUUACACGUACUCACAAUCGAAACAAAACUCUCAAAGAUAAUGAAUACAAAAAUCGGUAUAAACCUGCACCGAAAGUACAGCUUUAAGAAUUUUUGGAGAGCAAUUAACGUUUCAGGGUUGCUCAAAUACGCCGAUAGCCAGGUUCGUUAUCGCUUUGACAUUGGUAAGCAUGAUUUUUGAAUCACGUAAUUCACGUGCCUAGUCGACCGGUUGAUCGCGAGCAAUUUCAAGCAGAGAGAAUUUGGUAUUCGGAUCGUACCGGGUACAGGAGCAACGUUCCGUAUACAAAAGUAAUCGAGGGUUGAGUGAUUAUUUGUUGAUAAUUCAUCCGCUACUACUGACUUCAGGCCACCGUACGUACAGUGAUUAUGAACAUCCUAUUUUGAUUUGCCCUAAAAAAUAGUAAUAUGUUUAGGCGCAGAAGGCGGGACGGUAAUGAAUGCGAAUUUGAUACAUCGUUGAAUUGGUAUUUACAAGUUGUUUACAACUUGGCUGACAAAGGUUUAAUUUACGUAAUCGUGAUGAUUGACAGGAGAAUUUUAACUAAUAUUCAUAGAAUACGCGCAAUUAACGAAUGUAGAAAACAAUUUCGAGUAACGUAAUUGUAAUUCCUUCCGACCGAUGUUAGUGGAGCACCAAGACUUCGUAGUCCGUAAAUGAAAGCUCUUCGCCGUCGAAGGGGAUGUAGAGACAGCCGUGGCUCGCUUGGACCUGGAAAAACAACGCGUCGAAUCGGCGAAAGAAUGCGAAAAACAGAAUCCAGAACCUUGCGAGCAAAUACGGACCUUGCCGAUGGUCUGAGAUCCGUUGUGAAGGACGCGUCCGACGUAGAGAGGCUCGCCGUCGGCAGUUUGUCCCGCGACGACACCGUCCGGAGGAAUAGAUCCGGCACUGCAGAAUUCCCAAGCAAACUCGCCUUGGCACAGUACCUGAAGGAAAAUACGUUAACAGGAAAAAUCUGGGUGUAAGCCCUUAACGUGGUCUAUUGUUCGUCGCUUACGCCGAACAUCAAGUUGCCGAUAUUAAAGGAUCAGCGAUAAAAUGCACCUCGUAUUCGUCCUUAGGAUGCUCCUGGCCGUUCCAACAGACAAAGGCUAUCCCUUUGUCGGGUAUUACUUUUGCAGGAAUCAUGUCACCCUCGUGAAAGGCCCGCCCUACGUAAAUCUCGCUUCCAUCUUUAUCUCUUCCUCCCCGGAUAGCGUUUUCGGGUAAAGGACGUCCUCCAGAACGGCUGACCCAUCUGUAGGCUGAUGAGUAAUGGGUUUCAUUCUGAUCGUUACUGAUAUGUGCAGAACAAAUAAUCGUUCGAGUUCGUUGAAGGGUGAUUCAUACCAUGGUUGUUUACCAGAUACAAUCGCGUCGCUUGCACUUUCAAUGAUAUUGGUGAGAGAUAAGCACGCACUUACCGAUGACUAGCAAUCAGAACAAAUCGACAGCGCAGAAUUUCUUUUCUUGUCUUUGAGAUUUAUUCGUGAUAAUAAUAAUAGUAGUAACAUUUAUCAUCAUUUCUCAAAGGAUUAGAAGUAUUUACAACAUACGUUAUCUGGGCUGCUUGUGCAGUUUUAUCAAUUUAUAUUCAAUGGAACAAAGAUCCCUAUUAAAUAUGAUGUCGUUUAUACAUAACAUACCAAUUAGGGUAUAAUUGCAGAAUAACUCACACAUCUAAGGUGUGUACACAUACAAGAGGCAUAUGCGUUGUGAAAAUACUGUACCACGAUAUAUCUCGAUGUCUUACUAAUUCAUCAUUAGUUUGCGAAAACUGAUUACGAAUUACAGUCGCAGGCACGUGCAUGAAUAGUAUACUUUAGUGGUACAGAUCCACGCGUGAGAACCGUUUCAUUUUUACGAUUAUACCAUUCAAGAACGUAAAACGUAGAAACUAUUUUUAGGAAUAUUAUGUACUACUACAUUUGGCGAUAAGAAAAGAUUUAGUAUUAUUUUAACAGUUAUUUUUUUAGCAUGCACAUUUUAUCUGGUGAACUUUUUCAUUACCUGGCAUUGUGACAAAUUUCUCUCUUGUUCAAUAAAACGCACUUCCGUAAUGCUCAAUCACACCAGGCAGACUAAUUUUUUAUCAGAAUGAGACACUCGACUCGCCCCGCAUCUACAGGGAAAACCCUUAUCUUAUCUUUAGAAUCCGUCACACGUUUGAAUUUACGUGUAUGUAUGCAUACUUAUGUAAUAUAUAUACAUACACAUCUGGGUGCAGUUGAUUCUGACCCUCCUAGUUUUAGCUCCUUGGAAAUCAAGUUGGCAGCUAAUUUGACGCACUGCUGGAAGUGGUCGGAGUUGAUUACUGCCAACGAUGUUUCUGAUCCACAGAAACUAGGGCGAUUAAAAUCAACGAUACCUGGAUAUAUGUAUGCACGUACUUUCUAACACAGGGUAAAAAGAGCACAUUUUCUUCAUCACGUGAGGGAAGAGACGAAGAUCACGUACUUAAAGAAGAAAUACACACGUUCGCCAUUGACUGCUAUUUUAACGAGCUAAAAUGAUCUUCAGAAAUAAAAUAUACCGAGGGAGAGUUCAACUUUAGAAAUUUUAGGACACAGGUACGUAAAAAUUUUUUCACGCUUCUGGUUUAAAAUGUAAAAAGAAAAUCUCUUGAUUUACCUUCACGUCCAUCUAUGUAAAUUAUCGUGUCUUGUGGCUGGUAUGGAAGGUGUUCGUUGGAAUCAUCGCUAGUACAACAACUCUGUCCCAUUUUGCCUCGGCUUGAUA